UGCAUGUCUAAGUAUAAGCACUUAUACCGUGAAACUGCGAAUGGCUCAUUAAAUCAGUUAUCGUUUAUUUGAUAGUACCUUUACCUGGAUAACCGUGGUAAUUCUAGAGCUAAUACAUGCUAAAAACCCCGACUUCGGGAGGGGUGUAUUUAUUAGAUAAAAAACCAAUGCCCUUCGGGGCUCCUUGGUGAUUCAUAAUAACUUAACGAAUCGCAUGGCCUUGCGCCGGCGAUGGUUCAUUCAAAUUUCUGCCCUAUCAACUUUCGAUUGUAGGAUAGAGGCCUACAAUGGUCUUAACGGGUAACGGGGAAUUAGGGUUCUAUUCCGGAGAGGGAGCCUGAGAAACGGCUACCACAUCCAAGGAAGGCAGCAGGCGCGCAAAUUACCCAAUCCCGAUACGGGGAGGUAGUGACAAUAAAUACUGAUACGGGGCUCUUUCGGGUCUCGUAAUUGGAAUGAGUACAAUCUAAAUCCCUUAACGAGGAACAAUUGGAGGGCAAGUCUGGUGCCAGCAGCCGCGGUAAUUCCAGCUCCAAUAGCGUAUAUUAAAGUUGUUGCCGUUAAAAAGCUCGUAGUUGAACCUUGGCCCUGGCUGAUCUGUCCUCCUAAUCGAGCGCACGGAUUCGGUCGGGGCUUUCCUUCUGGGGAGCCCCAUGCCCUUCACUGGGUGUGGCGGGGAACCAGGACUUUUACCUUGAAAAAAUUAGAGUGUUCAAAGCAGGCCUUUGCUCGAAUACAUUAGCAUGGAAUAAUAGAAUAGGACAUCGGUUCUAUUUUGUUGGUUUCUAGGACCGCUGUAAUGAUUAAUAGGGACAGUCGGGGGCGUCAGUAUUCAAUUGUCAGAGGUGAAAUUCUUGGAUUUAUUGAAGACUAACUACUGCGAAAGCAUUCGCCAAGGAUGUUUUCAUUAAUCAGUGAACGAAAGUUAGGGGAUCGAAGACGAUCAGAUACCGUCGUAGUCUUAACCAUAAACUAUGCCGACUAGGGAUCGGACGGUGGUUUUUUAUGCCCCGUUCGGCACCUUACGAGAAAUCAAAGUUUUUGGGCUCGGGGGGGAGUAUGGU
rnacentral:rRNA from 1 species